rnacentral:rRNA from 1 species
CCUACGGGAGGCAGCAGUAGGGAAUAUUGGGCAAUGGACGAAAGUCUGACCCAGCCAUGCCGCGUGCAGGAUGACAGCCCUCUGGGUUGUAAACUGCUUUUAUAUAGGAAGAAACCCUUGGAUGCGUCCGAGGCUGACGGUACUAUAUGAAUAAGGAUCGGCUAACUUCGUGCCAGCAGCCGCGGUAAGACGAAGGAUCCAAGCGUUGUCCGGAUUUACUGGGUUUAAAGGGUGCGUAGGCGGACCUUUAAGUCAGUGGUGAAAUCCCGCAGCUCAACUGCGGAACUGCCAUUGAAACUGAAGGUCUUGAAUAUGGUUGAGGUAGAUGGAAUAUAACAUGUAGCGGUGAAAUGCUUAGAUAUGUUAUAGAACACCGAUUGCGAAGGCAGUCUGCUAAGCCAUCAUUGACGCUGAGGCACGAAAGCGUGGGGAGCAAACAGGAUUAGAUACCCUGGUAGUCCACGCCCUAAACGUUGAUUACUCGCUGUUGGCGAUACACUGUCAGCGGCUAAGCGAAAGCGUUAAGUAAUCCACCUGGGGAGUACGUCCGCAAGGAUGAAACUCAAAGGAAUUGACGG